GCGCCCGUAGCUCAGCUGGAUAGAGCAUCGGUCUACGGAACCGGUUGUCGCACGUUCGAAUCGUGCCGGGCGCG
rnacentral:tRNA from 1 species